UUCAAGAUGCCGAAGGGAAAGUAGGCCAAGGGCAAGAAGGUGGCCCCGGCCCCUGAGGCCAAGAAGGUGGUCAACCCCUUGUUCGAGAAAAGGCCCAAGAAUUUUGGCAUUGGACAGGACAUCCAGCCCAAAAGGGACCUCACCCGCUUUGUCAAAUGGCCCCCACUAUAUCCGCCUGCAGCGACAAAGGGCUAUCCUCUAUAAGCGGCUGAAAGUGCCUCCCACGAUUAACCAAUUCACCCAGGCCCUGGACCGCCAAACAACUACUCAGCUGCUUAAGUUGGCCCACAAGGACAGACCAGAGACAAAGCAAGAGAAGAAGCAGAGGUUGCUGGCCCGAGCUGAGAAGAAAGCUGCGGCCAAAGAGGAUGUUCCCACCAAGAGGCCACGUGUCCUCCGAGCAGGGGUUAGUACUGUCAUCACCUUGGUGGAGGACAAGAAGGCUCAGCUGGUGGUAAUCGCACAUGACAUGGAUUCCAUCGAGCAGGUGGCCUUCCUGCCUGCCCCUACUGCGUCAUCAAGGGGAAGGCCAGGCUGGGGCGUCUGGUCCACAGGAAGACCUGCACCACCGUGGCCUUCACACAAGUCAACUCGGAAGACAAAGGUGCUCUGGCUAAGCUGGUGGAAGCCAUCAGGACCAAUUACAAUGACAGAUACGAUGAGAUCUGCCGUCACUGGGGAGGCAACGUCCUGGGUCCCAAAUCAGUGGCUCGCACCGCCAAGCUUGAAAAGGCAAAGGCCAAAGAACUGGCCACCAAACGGGGCUAAGUGUACACUAUUGAUUUUUCUGUACAUAAAAAAAAUAAUAAAA